GGAAGGAUCAUUAACACUUUUUUUUUUUUCGUAAGAAAAAAAAAGAAUCACCCAAACGUGCUCUUUCUUUUUUUUUACACACCUUUAACCCCCCUUUUUACUAUGUAACCAAUGACUGACAUUCGAAAGUUUUGUGUAAUACAGAGCUUUUGUAAUAUGUUUUUUCGAAAACUUAUUAUAAACCUAAAAACACAACUCUUAACAAUGGAUAUCUUGGCUCUCGUAACGAUGAAGAACGCAGCGAAAUGCGAUACGUAAUGCGAAUUGCAGAACUCCGUGAAUCAUCAAAUCUUUGAACGCAACUUGCGCUCUCGGGAUAGCCCUGGGAGCAGGCCUCUCUGAGUAUCGAUUCAAACUCCUCUCGACAACAGAUUUUAUCUGUGUAGUCGGUCUAUGAGUUGUCACAUUAAUGUUUAUUUUAGUGUGUCACUUGAAAUUUUAGUCAGUUCUAAUCUGAUCAGUAACAAAACUUUACUGGUUGUUUUAGAUGUGGAUAGUGAUCUUUUAUGGAUCUCCAACUACAUUCUAUUACAAAUAAGCUAGUAUGGCGAGGUCUGAUCUCCUGAUUCGAGAACUCAAAAUUACUCCGUAUUUAGUGUUGUCUUAAAAACACACACUAGUCGAAAUUAACGAUCUCAGAUGAAGUCAGAAGACCCCCUGAAUUUAAGCAUAUUAUUAAGGGGAGGAAAAGAAACUAACAAGGAUUCCCCUAGUAACGGCGAGUGAAGCGGGAUGAGCUCAAGCUUGAAAUCGGUUAGCUAAGCGGCCAACCGAGUUGUAGCCUAAAGACGCGUGCUCAGGUAUGCCCUACGUAGAAGUCCUUUGGAACAGGGCAUCAUAGAGGGUGAGAAUCCCGUCUGUGACGUGGAGUGUGUACCGUACGAGCCGUGUUCGACGAGUCGAGUUGCUUGGGAUUGCAGCUCUAAGUGGGUGGUAAAUUCCAUCUAAAGCUAAAUAUCGACGAGAGACCGAUAGCGAACAAGUACCGUGAGGGAAAGAUGAAAAGAACUUUGAAAAGAGAGUUAAAAAGUACUUGAAAUUGUUAAGAGGGAAGCGCUGCAAGCCAGUGCAUACAGGACAGCUAUAUUUACUUUGUUUUGUGGUUGUCGGUGCUGUAAUGUGUGCUUCACCGCCACAUCAGGUACCGUAUGCUACCGACUUGGGUUUGUAGUUGUACGUGUGUCAGAAUCAAUUCGCUUCGAAAGACACGUUCUUGGGGAAGGUGGGGUGUUUCGGCACUCGUUAUAGCCCCUUGUUCAUAUUUCGUCGUGGAUUGAGGACUGUAAUGUGCGCCGCAAGGUUUCGGGCCUGUGUUGGUUUUGUUGCAGCAUUUGUAUCGAACAAUGUUCUCUGCUUUUGCUGUGGCUCUCCUCUUCACUACGCUUAGAAGUACAUUCGGGAUUCUGACUAAAUGGCUUGCAUCGACCCGUCUUGAAACACGGACCAAGGAGUCUAACAUAUAUGCGAGUAUUUGGGUGUGAAAACCCUGAUGCGUAAUGAAAGUGAAGGAAGCUUCGUGCUUCUGAGGUAGGAAUCUGUCUUGUUAGUGGGGCAGAGGCACUAUCGGCCGACCUGGGCUUGCUCAUGGUUUGCGCUCGAGCAUAUCUGUUGGGACCCGAAAGAUGGUGAUCUAUGCCUGAACAGGGUGAAGCCAGGGGAAACUCUGGUGGAGGCUCGUAGCGAUACUGACGUGCAAAUCGUUCGUCUGAUUUGGGUAUAGGGGCGAAAGACUAAUCGAACCAUCUAGUAGCUGGUUCCCUC
rnacentral:misc_RNA from 1 species